rnacentral:lncRNA from 1 species
AAGGAGUGUGAAAAAUGUAAAAUAAAGUCACAUUGUCCAUGUGACUUAGGAGAGUGGUGUAGGUGUAGUUUUUAGGAGGUGUCAUAGUAGAAAAAGGUCACACCUCCCAUGUGACUUGUUUUUGGUGGGAAUUUCAAAUGAGUUUAUUUGAAUUUUCUCACCUAUUUUUCAGCACCUCUAGGCUAUAAAUUAAGGUGCUGCCCUUGUACAUUUCAGAUUUGAAUUUUAAUUAGAGAAACUAUACUCAAUUUUUGAGAGAGCAUUGGAGAGC